UAAAGCAAAUAUUAUGAUUCGUUGUUGUGGGGUGAACAAGGUGUACAGUGAUCAUUAACACUAACACUUCUUUACUUUUGUAGACGAUAUAUAGUGAGAGUGCCCAAGUUUUCAGUUAAAACGUCCUAUUCGCUGCAGGAAGUCCUGUCAGAAAUGGGAAUGAAGGACAUGUUUGGUCAAACUGCAAACUUUUCAGGAUUAACAAAGGAAAAUGUGUAUGUCUCAAAGGUUGUCCACAAGGCAACACUAGAUGUGGAUGAAUUAGGAACUACAGCAACUGGAGUCACUGGUGUAAAACUUGUUCCAUUCAGUUUACCUCCAAGCUUGACUUUCAAUCGUCCUUUCCUUUUCAUAAUCAGUAAUCAUGAAAACAACAGUAUAUUUUUCAUGGGAAAAAUUGUCAAUCCUGCUGAAAAAUAGAGGAUAAGAGUUGCCCAAAACUACUGAUAAACCAAUUUUAGUAUUUGUUUUUACUAAGAUGUUUAAAAGUGCAAACGACUGAAUCUUAAGUUCAAUGACAGAAGUUUGGACCUGACAGGUCAAAGCAAGCAUGGACUGUCAGAACAAAAAGUAAUGUUUGUCCCUCUAAGGUACCUGGAGUCAAUUCCAUAUUGAUUUUGAGAUUUGCUUAUACUGUAUAUAACUAACUUUCAGGCUUAUUUUCAUUCCCAAUAUCUACAAUUUUGACUUCUAUUUUUACUAGAUAUGGACUUAUUCAAGCUUUUUUGUAAUAUGUUGAUUAAAAAUAACUGGAUAUGUAUCUGCCUUUCUUGUCUUUUGCUGAAUAAAAAUAAUACUCUUUUGCACA